ensembl:lncRNA
AUGAGCGCUUCUCCCGCUGCGGCGUUCAGGCCUUGUUUUGUGCACGCACCUCUGCUUCCUGCUGCCCGCAGACCUGCUGGCCGUGCUGAGCUUUCGCCCCACGCGCACAGCGGCUCCGCAGCCGCCUCCCAUCACGCCGGCGCUGCCUGUGCUUCCUUGCAGGAGCAGGGCUGGCUCCUGCUGCCGACACGCGCCAGGGCAGCCAGGGCACCAGCGACUCCGAGGGGGAAGUGUUCUGCGAUACCAUGGAGCAGAUGGAGCCUGAGCAGGCUGGGCAGCUGCUGGCUGAGCGGGGGCUGGUCCCAAAGAGCGUCCCGGCCGGGCGCGUGGCUGGGCGGGCGGCGCGGGGUGAAGGCAGAAGACGGGAGGGGAGCGGCGGUGCCGACCUCGCAGCCCGGGGCUCUGACAGAGUGUCAGGGCUGUGCUGGAUGCUGUACAUCCCUCAGCUGCAGCGGUGCGGCCCCGCCGGCAGCGUCUGCCUCGGUUGGCUUGGAUACGGAUGUGCCAGGUGGGGCCGGGAGCUCCCGUGGGGCCGGCCUCGGUGUCCCUGGAGGUGCUGGCACAGGGGACGGAACCGCCGCAGCCAUCCUGGCGGUUCCCAGCAGGGAUGCAGUGAGGAACAGCCCCGGUGGCUGUACCCAUCCUGCCAGACGUUGGGGUUCUGCUACCCUCCCCAGCCCACGCUCAGCUCCCGCUGAUGUUUCGCAAACCUCCGGGGCUGCUUGA